rnacentral:rRNA from 1 species
UACGUAGGUGGCAAGCGUUGUCCGGAUUUACUGGGCGUAAAGGAUGCGUAGGCGGACAUUUAAGUCAGAUGUGAAAUACCCGAGCUUAACUUGGGUGCUGCAUUUGAAACUGGGUGUCUAGAGUGCAGGAGAGGUGAGUGGAAUUCCCAGUGUAGCGGUGAAAUGCGUAGAUAUUGGGAGGAACACCAGUGGCGAAGGCGGCUCACUGGACCGGAACUGACGCUGAGGCGCGAAAGCGUGGGGAGCGAACAGG